GGGGAUUUAGCUCAGUGGUAGAGCACUUGCCUAGCAAGCACAAGGUCCUGGGUUCGGUCCUCAGCUCCA
rnacentral:tRNA from 1 species